rnacentral:lncRNA from 1 species
AAUUAUGCAAAUCUGAAAUUAAUUAUUAGAACUUUGAAUAUGAGAUUAAACAUUUGAAGUACUUGUGAACCCAAUUAAUUUCAUCGAAGUAGACGUCAAUUACUUAACAUCGGCCGUUCAUUGAAGUCGCAAAAGUUAGAUAGCAUGUAGCUAUUGCAAGGAGCUACAAUUAUUAUACAAAGCUAAGUUGUUCAUUCACUUAACACGCACACAAAAUGCCUUAAAGCU